rnacentral:rRNA from 1 species
UACGAAGGGGGCUAGCGUUGUUCGGAAUUACUGGGCGUAAAGGGCGCGCAGGCGGUCUUCCAAGUCAGAUGUGAAAGCCCCGGGCUCAACCUGGGAACUGCAUUUGAGACUGGAGGACUAGAGUUCGGGAGAGGAGAGCGGAAUUCCCAGUGUAGAGGUGAAAUUCGUAGAUAUUCGCAAGAACACCAGUGGCGAAGGCGGCUCACUGGCCCGAUACUGACGCUGAGGUGCGAAAGCGUGGGGAGCAAACAGG